rnacentral:rRNA from 1 species
UACGUAGGUGGCAAGCGUUGUCCGGAAUUAUUGGGCGUAAAGCGCGCGCAGGUGGUUUCUUAAGUCUGAUGUGAAAGCCCACGGCUCAACCGUGGAGGGUCAUUGGAAACUGGGGAACUUGAGUGCAGGAGAGAAGAGUGGAAUUCCACGUGUAGCGGUGAAAUGCGUAGAGAUGUGGAGGAACACCAGUGGCGAAGGCGGCUAUCUGGCCCGUAAUUGACGCUGAGGCGCGAAAGCGUGGGGAGCAAACAGG